AGAGUUUGAUCCUGGCUCAGGACGAACGCUGGCGGCGUGCCUAAUACAUGCAAGUCGAGCGGACAGAUGGGAGCUUGCUCCCUGAUGUUAGCGGCGGACGGGUGAGUAACACGUGGGUAACCUGCCUGUAAGACUGGGAUAACUCCGGGAAACCGGGGCUAAUACCGGAUGCUUGAUUGAACCGCAUGGUUCAAUUAUAAAAGGUGGCUUUUAGCUACCACUUACAGAUGGACCCGCGGCGCAUUAGCUAGUUGGUGAGGUAACGGCUCACCAAGGCAACGAUGCGUAGCCGACCUGAGAGGGUGAUCGGCCACACUGGGACUGAGACACGGCCCAGACUCCUACGGGAGGCAGCAGUAGGGAAUCUUCCGCAAUGGACGAAAGUCUGACGGAGCAACGCCGCCCCCGUGAUGAAGGUUUUCGGAUCGUAAAACUCUGUUGUUAGGGAAGAACAAGUACCGUUCGAAUAGGGCGGUACCUUGACGGUACCUAACCAGAAAGCCACGGCUAACUACGUGCCAGCAGCCGCGGUAAUACGUAGGUGGCAAGCGUUGUCCGGAAUUAUUGGGCGUAAAGCGCGCGCAGGCGGUUUCUUAAGUCUGAUGUGAAAGCCCCCGGCUCAACCGGGGAGGGUCAUUGGAAACUGGGGAACUUGAGUGCAGAAGAGGAGAGUGGAAUUCCACGUGUAGCGGUGAAAUGCGUAGAGAUGUGGAGGAACACCAGUG
rnacentral:rRNA from 1 species